UACGAAGGGGGCUAGCGUUGCUCGGAAUCACUGGGCGUAAAGCGCACGUAGGCGGAUUGCUAAGUCAGGGGUGAAAUCCCGGGGCUCAACCUCGGAACUGCCUUUGAUACUGGAAGUCUUGAGUAUGGAAGAGGUAAGUGGAAUUGCGAGUGUAGAGGUGAAAUUCGUAGAUAUUCGCAGGAACACCAGUGGCGAAGGCGGCUUACUGGUCCAUUACUGACGCUGAGGUGCGAAAGCGUGGGGAGCAAACAGG
rnacentral:rRNA from 1 species